rnacentral:lncRNA from 1 species
CUUACCAGUAAUAAAUAUUGAGUGGACGGUAUUUAACUCACUGCCCAAAAAAGCAAAUUCAAUAGCAGAGCCAGAACCAGACACCCAGCCCAAUUAUUCCCCCAUUUAUUCAAGUUCUUAGUUCGUGCCAGUCAUCACUGACACUAAGGAUGUAAAAAUUAUGCUGGCAUAAUCCUUGUCCUUCGGGUGCAAGGACAAGGAUAACAGGUAGGUUGGAAAAUGGAAAGAGAGCCAGGGAGAAGGAAACAGUUUUAAAAGUAAGGGGAGUCACCAGUAGCGAUGCCAAUGAGCAAAGGAAAACCGUAGUCAUUGCCAUAGAAACGGAGAAAACGUAGAAUAGGGCAGUGGAGGAAAGCAGGGCUUAAGCUUGUCCAUUUUCUGAAAAGUGUGGUCCCAGGGCCAGCAGCAACAGCAUCUCCUGGGGCCUUAUUAGAAAUUCAUAUCACUGGGUCCCACCCCAGUCUCCUGGAAAUCAGAAAUUCUGGCGGUGGGACCCAACCAUCUGUAUUUCCACACCUGCUCCUUCUUCCCUUCCUCCAGUCUCCUCAGCCCACCCCCACUCCCUACCACCACCACUAGAGUGUGAGUCUAACACCCGCUAAAGCUUGAGGACCACCAAUGUCAAAUUCAGUGAGUGGCAGAUUCUAAAUAACUGAGGAAGGCAAACCCACAGCAGAAAACCUGGCACAGAUGAGUCCCUGGCACCCCCUGGAAAGGCAUCCAUGAUAGAGACCCUCUCAAGAUAAGCUCCCACCGAAUGCUCUGCUCCUGUUGCAAAUUGAGAUCUGGGGCCAUUUAUGAUAUGCUAGUUCCAAAGGUAAGUUAAAUGCCUAUUGGAACAACUCCGAGCAAGUACCCUAUCGUCUAUAUUUCAGCCAUUCCCAGGAGAGCUGAGCUCAACAACAGCCAAAGUCCAUGAAUCCAGAGAACCAAGUAAAUUCCAGCCUGCACAGGGGCCUGGAUCAAGCAAUGACGCAAACAGUUAAGGUACUGCAGCUAGAAGAGCUCGCCAGGACCAACGUCAGAAGACAUCCAGAACUGAUAAUGAGCAGACCCAGGGGAGGUCUGCAGAGACUCAAAACUGAUGAAAUCCCUUUAAAAAGGGAAGGAUUUGGGCAACAAACCUUCAGACUCUUUGGACAUGACCCCUCUAUGUCUGACCACUUAAAAAAGGCAACAGCCACAGAAGACUCUACCCGAUGGAUCCCCAAACAGAAUCGAGACCCUUCGUUGCUGGAACAACCGAAGCAGCGAGGGCCAAGAGCUGACCUGGACCAGACCGAGGCCUUUCCUGAACUGCACACCCCCAGGCUGACUUCACGUUUGGUCCGUUCGCUUCCUGCACCCUUCUGUUACCUUGUUCGUCCUGCUCUGCGUGCUGUGUAAGAAGCCAAAUGUAAUCCCAUGGUGAAAGGUCAUUGAGUCUGGAAUCCUGAACCUGCUUGAUCAUUGUGAUUCAACUUUGCUUUAGUAUUCAAUAAAGCUGACAUCAUGGA